rnacentral:rRNA from 1 species
GUGCCAGCAGCCGCGGUAAUACGUAGGUGGCAAGCGUUGUCCGGAUUUAUUGGGCGUAAAGCGCGCGCAGGCGGUUUCUUAAGUCUGAUGUGAAAGCCCCCGGCUUAACUGUGGAGGGUCAUUUCAAACUGGGUGACUUGAGUGCAGGAGAGGAAAGUAGAAUUCCAAGUGUAGCGGUGAAAUGCGUAGAGAUUAGGAAGAAUACCAGUGGCGAAGGCGGCUUUCUGGACUGCAAAUGACGCUGAGGCGUGAAAGCAUGGGGAGCAAACAGGAUUAGAUACCCUGGGAGUCCAUGCCGUAAACGAUGAGUGCUAAGUGUAAGAGGUUUUCCGUCCUUCUGU